rnacentral:rRNA from 1 species
AGAUUAGCUUGCUUUAUUUGUCAGCUAAGUGGCGCACGGGUGAGUAAUGUAUAGGUAAUAUGCCUCUUACUAAGGGAUAACAAUUGGAAACGAUUGCUAAUACCUUAUAUUCCUUUUUAUCAAAAGAUAAAAAGGGAAAGAUUUAUUGGUAAGAGAUUAGCCUGUAUUGUAUCAGUUAGUUGGUGGGGUAAUGGCCUACCAAGACGAUGACGCAUAACUGGUUUGAGAGGAUGAUCAGUCACACUGGAACUGAGACACGGUCCAGACUCCUACGGGAGGCAGCAGUGGGGAAUAUUGCACAAUGGACGAAAGUCUGAUGCAGCAACGCCGCGUGGAGGAUGACACAUUUCGGUGCGUAAACUCCUUUUAUAUAAGAAGAUAAUGACGGUAUUAUAUGAAUAAGCACCGGCUAACUCCGUGCCAGCAGCCGCGGUAAUACGGAGGGUGCAAGCGUUACUCGGAAUCACUGGGCGUAAAGAGCGUGUAGGCGGAUUGAUAAGUUUGAAGUGAAAUCCUAUAGCUUAACUAUAGAACUGCUUUGAAAACUGUUAAUCUAGAAUGUGGGAGAGGUAGAUGG